rnacentral:rRNA from 1 species
AGCGAACGCUGGCGGCAGGCCUAACACAUGCAAGUCGAACGAAGUCUUCGGACUUAGUGGCGGACGGGUGAGUAACACGUGGGAACGUGCCUUUAGGUUCGGAAUAACUCAGGGAAACUUGUGCUAAUACCGAAUGUGCCCUUCGGGGGAAAGAUUUAUCGCCUUUAGAGCGGCCCGCGUCUGAUUAGCUAGUUGGUGGGGUAAAGGCUCACCAAGGCUACGAUCACUAGCUGGUCUGAGAGGAUGACCAGCCACAUUGGGACUGAGACACGGCCCAAACUCCUACGGGAGGCAGCAGUGGGGAAUUUUGCGCAAUGGGCGAAAGCCUGACGCAGCCAUGCCGCGUGGAUGAUGAAGGUCUUAGGAUUGUAAAAUCCUUUCACCGGUGAAGAUAAUGACUGUAGCCGGAGAAGAAGCCCCGGCUAACUUCGUGCCAGCCGCCGCAGUAACAC